UACGAAGGGGGCUAGCGUUGCUCGGAAUCACUGGGCGUAAAGGGUGCGUAGGCGGGUCUUUAAGUCUGGGGUGAAAUCCUGGAGCUCAACUCCAGAACUGCCUUUGAUACUGAAGAUCUUGAGUCCGGGAGAGGUGAGUGGAACUGCGAGUGUAGAGGUGAAAUUCGUAGAUAUUCGCAAGAACACCGGUGGCGAAGGCGGCUAUCUGGACGACAACUGACGCUGAGGCGCGAAAGCGUGGGGAUCAAACAGG
rnacentral:rRNA from 1 species